ensembl:lncRNA hemogen
GCCAAGUUCUCCACCUUUGCAAAUAAGAUAAGAGCACAACUGCAAGAACUCUCCCAGCACUGCGGUAAUGUUUAACCAGAUAAUUAUUCUCUUAGCAGCAGGAAAAGUAAAUGGGCACAAUUUUUUUCAGCCCUGUCAUUUCAAUACUUCAUAUUCAUGUGACAGGACAACAAAAUGGAAGAGACAUUGGAGAAAGAGAUCGCGCCAUUUGAAGUAAAAGAUUCUAAUGAAGGUGGAAUUCGGCUGCGAUUGAGAGACAGAGACCUGUUGAAGAAACGAAAGGCUGAGGCAGAGGAAAAGGCAACCAACCAGUGGGUUUAUGGGUAAAGCUAGUGUUGAAUUAGGCCAAUAAAAGCACUGGAAAAGGCCUAGAGCACUUAUUUAUUUUUCAGUUUAUAUGAUAUUGUGAUAUUAUGACGCAAAUGCACAAAUAAUGUAUCUUAAUAUUGAACACAGGGCACAAAGCCUUAAAAGAGUGAAAAAGAAGACCAGUGGUACCCCAGGAAGGAAAGGUCGACCAAGAAAAGAACCGCCUGUAGUUAUUCCAGAAGAUCUCGGUCUGGCUCAGGAAACAGAUCCUUCUCCUGACACACUUCCUAUCACAGAACCUGUAUUACCCACAAUAGCAGAGACACUGCCUUUAUUACCAGCUGAGCCACAACCAGAGCCGGCGCCGGCGCAAGUGGAAACAAUGAGUGAAAAACCUCUGGAGGAGUUUCUGAUUGAGGAUCUGGGGCCUGAUGAGGAGGAAGACAUGCCUCAAAAAAGCUUUAUCAUUGAUACAGGUGAUGACGAGCUGCCAUGUGCUGACCUGAACAGUCAAGUCUCAAUGGCAGUGUAUCCUCCAGCAUCUGCUCCUUCUCAACCUGAGAGUCUAUCUGAGAAUUUAAUCAUCUGAGUGUCACCCUUCUACAGAAAAAUGAAUUUAAUCUAAUUUACUAUUUCAAAGGAUUUCUAAACUGAAACAAGGACAAAUCUAUAUUUAUUAAAAUUCUUCAUGUCUCCAUGUAUAUAUACCACUUAUCAGUACUCUGUCAAACAAAAUCCAUUCUAUACAUAUUAUAAAAUAUAUAAUAAAAUAAAAACCGGAAAUUGUUACAGUAUAGUACUUUUGUGUUCUAUGAUUUUAAAGCAACUAGAUCUUUGCCUUAAGCCUAUAUUACGAAUAAUCUUUGUUUAGUUUGUACAACGGACUAUUUUAAAAUAAAGUGGUUUUAUACUUUGUCUUUGUCUAGUCAUUUCGUCACUGAAUUCUAAAACCAUCACGCUCCUAUGGGAAUCAAUUUUAGUAUGCUAAAGGUGCACCACUGACAGCUAACGGUUGAAAUGGGUACUGCAGUCCAAAUUCAAAAUACAGGAGAGUUGUUUUUCCUCCUCAGACUCGACGCUCACGCGGGUUGCUAGAUUGAGGACAGGAACCAGUGCAAAUAUCAAAGGAAGGAAACAAGCCUUACACGCUGCGGUGCUGGGUAGAUUACUUACAAUUACAAAUUGUAGUCCGUUACUGAUUACAUGAUGAAAACUGCAGUUAGUAACGGAAUCUAGGUUACUAAUUUUAGGUAAAGUAUUCCGACUACUUCUUAGAUUACUUUUAGA